AUAACUGGCCUCAAUGUGAAACUGGAAUGUUUUUCUUCUGAGGUAUAUUUGAUACUUCAAUGUUGCUUUUGUCAAUAAAAUAAUACUAGGCAAAUAAUCCUACUGUAGCUAUGCUGACACUCUAUGAGUGGGUAUUGACAUGUCUUUGACUUGACUCAUUUUCUCCAAAUCCCAUACUGAAUACACGAGGGUCUUUCAUGUCUCUCCUUCACGAGGCAAAUACAAGCCGCGUUGUCUCUGCAAGACAGCUGAGCAUCUGCAGUGAAGACACAGGUCUUUUAUGUUUGUCAUUUCUCUUUGGAGCUGAAAGAAAGUGGUUUCACUCUGUGGUCUGGCCUGCAGUGUCCCCAGUGGCAUGCUUCCCGUGUCUUUCUUCCACCAGACUCUUCUCCAGAUACAGGGUGAAGAACUACUGAAAGUACGAGUGUCAUUUGCUUCUACAUCAUAUAUAGUGGCAGCCGUGACAGUGUUAUAUUCUGCAGCAGUUAUAUGGAGAAUAUUAUUUCCCAUGUCAGGUUGGAAGUCUUCUGUUUCAGGAUGUGUAGAUAAUGUCACCUUACUGUGAGAGAUCACAAUUCCAGAAGCACCCAGUGCAGCAGAUUCUCCAAUGGUAUUUACCAGGUCAUCCUGAGAGUGAAUGUGGAAAGAAUCCUACUGAUUUCUCUUUCUAGAGUCAGCUAUUAGCCCAGCCCUAACAAAACGUUAAAACCCAUGUGGGAUAGGAGAGAACUAUGGAUAGAAAAAGAACAAGGAAAAAACUUUCUGUGGAGAACAACAUGAAAAGGAGGGGUGUGAGGGUCUCAGUGAGUACCAAGAAACCCAGCAGCGACCCUAACAGCACACCCUGUUCCUCAAAGAUAUGCACAGAGCUGGGGGCAAUGCUCAGUGAUGCUCAGACUAGGAUGUUAGAGGACACAACGUAGUCACCAGGACCACAACCUCUGAUUUCCCCUUCCUUGUAGCCUGGAUGACCAGGAGGAAGUUUUCCGAAGUGGUGGUAUCUAUAAUAGCAUAGAUAUUUAAAAAUAUGUUAAAGAAAAGAUGUAGCCAGGAGUGUAAUAAGAUGGUUAGACCUUAAACAGAGGCUAACCUUGACAAGGCUGUGAGAUGCUGAUAUGCCAUUUAGGAGGCUACCCCAGUACACCUAAAGACAGAAUUUCCUCACCAGCUUUAAAACCCGUUUACCAAAGAAUCAGUAAACCUAAUAUCCUUGCUUUGAUUUUUAAAAAUUGAAUUUUGCAUCAGUACUUCAAGUCCUAGACAGACAAGGAAAUUCUUUGACUUUGGAGAACUAAUUAAAUUAUCAUCACAAAAAUCUGAUGAAUUGGGGUGGAAGAAAGGUAAUUUACUGUUUAAGAACUCCUGCAAUAGAAGUUGUCUUAAUAUGCAUGUCAUAAUUUCAAAAGAAGAAAAAGGCUAACAUUCUGGACAUGGAAGUGAUUGCUGAGUGACCUCUCAUUCUCCAAAUGUAGGCUGAGGAGUGGGAGAGGUAUGAAAGUAUGAGAAGAUCUUACACUAAUCAUCUUUAAUGAUCUUCUAUAGUCCUCUUAAAAAAGAGAUAUAUCUCCUACUUAUCAAAGUGAAAAACAAGGAGAAAGGAACACUUAUAUAACAAAAAAAUAAAAAUAUAUUUUUAAAAAUCGCUUUUAUUGUUUUUCCUUAUAAAUUUUAAAAGCAAACAUUAGGCCAGCCCAGUUUUACUAAUUCUCUUGGAAAGGUUAUUCUUUCCUCUGAGUUAACAUACUAAGUUACGCUUUUUAGCUUUCUAACAUUUUGCUACAUGUGAGGACUGUUCAGAGUGCAAAAUAUUAUUUAGUAAAUAUUUAGUAAGUUCAUUAGGAAUGCUUGAAAAUAAACCUCUUACUGUUCAGUCUGCACAUAUUUAGAUGAUAGUUUAAUUUAUUUUUAUACAAAAUCUACAUACUUUUUUUCUGAAACAAAUUAGUAUCUUUGCUAAGUAAGUGUCACCUAGUAAUUUCUUUCCACUUCAGUUUGAAAUAUUUAAAGUGUAGCUCCACUCACCUGAGAAAGAUAUUCCUCAUAGACAUCUGUGAAUACUGGUCGUGUAUAUACAAAAAC